rnacentral:rRNA from 1 species
AGAAUCAACGCUGGCGGCGUGCCUAACACAUGCAAGUCGAACGAGAAAGGGUAGCAAUACCUGAGUACAGUGGCGCACGGGUGAGUAACACGUGACUAACCUACCCUUGAGUGGGGGGAUAACUGAGGGAAACCUUAGCUAAUACCGCAUAAUACCUACGGGUCAAAGGAGCAAUUCGCUUUAGGAGGGGGUCGCGGUCGAUUAGUUAGUUGGCGGGGUAAUGGCCCACCAAGACUGUGAUCGAUAUCCGGCCUGAGAGGGCGCACGGACACACUGGAACUGAAACACGGUCCAGACUCCUACGGGAGGCAGCAGUGGGGAAUUUGCGCAAUGGGGGAAACCCUGACGCAGCAACGCCGCGUGGAGGAUGAAGUACUUCGGUACGUAAACUCCUUUCGAUCGGGACGAUAAUGACGGUACCGAGAGAAGAAGCCCGGCUAACUUCGCGCCAGCAGCCGC